CCUCCUCCAACCCCCGGAGUGUCCACAUGAGGAUAAUGAGGGCCCCCACCCAUGUGAGGCUCUAGAGUGCCAGUUCUUCUGAAGGUCUGCUCUCCUGGGCAUUGCUUGUUCCAAACUGCUGUUUGGUACAGCCUGGGCCACUGCCUUUCUGAAGAAUGUCACUGGCUUUGCUCCUUGUCACUACCAAAUGUGCCCAAAUGUGGCCACAGGCUUAACUUGAAAUUCCCCACAGAACAACUGGGAAAUGCCGCAAUGCUUAUGAUGGUAAUGAUGAUAGUGGUGAUGGAAAUGACAAUGAUGGUGAUGCUGCUGGUGGUGGUGGUGGUGGUGACUGAGGUGGUGGUGGUGGUGACUGAGGUAGCGGUGGUGGUGAUUGAGAUGGUGAUGAUUGAGAUGAUGGUGGUGGUGAUUGAGAUGAUGGUGGUGGUGAUUGAGAUGAUGGUGGUGGUGACUGAGAUGGUGAUGGUUAUGACUGAGAUGGUGAUGAUUGAGAUGGUGGUGAUUGAGAUGGUGGUGGUGGUGAUUGAAUGGUGAUGAUUGAGAUGGUGAUGGUGAUGGUGGUGAUUGAGAUGAUGGUGGUGAUUGAGAUGGUGGUGCUGGUGGUGAGGGGGUCCUAGAGGGAGACUCAAAUCAACCGCUGCCCUAGCGCCCUUGGAGCACAGGAGAGCUCCCUCACCUCCCACCCUCCAGCUUGGCCUCCUCUCCCUCUGGACCAGGUUCUAGCUUUACGCUUGUGUAGCUCAAAGCCCAGCAAGAGGUUUUCCCAGAAGAGCAGCCUCCCUGUGGGCUGUCCCCGGGAGCAGCCAUUUCCACCUCUGCUUCACACGCAUGGCCCCUGCCUUGUCCCCAACAGCACUCGCUCAGCAGCCCCUCCCUCCCUGCACACUUCUUGAGCAUUCAAGACAUCGCUUGAAUCAAAAUGCAUUUUCCUCUGGCCUGAAGGCUGCUGACCCCUGGGAGCGGGCCCCGGCCACCUGUGCGUCCCUCC
rnacentral:lncRNA from 1 species